rnacentral:lncRNA from 1 species
CGCAAAACAGCUCAGCUGAGAGGGCGGGCCCAAGGUGGGGGACGGGGCGAGGUCAGUAGCCGAAGCUGCAGCAACAGCAGCCGUCCCCAUGGCUGAGGAAAGCAAGUGGGGCUCGCCCCUGCCAGCCGACAAGAUCCUGGUCUUGGUGUGGAUCUACCUGGUGACCCUCUCCCUCAGCCUGCUGGGCAGUGCCUCCAUUCUGGC